rnacentral:rRNA from 1 species
GACGAACUCUGGCGGCGUGCUUAACACAUGCAAGUCGAACGGAAAGGCCCUGCUUUUGUGGGGUGCUCGAGUGGCGAACGGGUGAGUAACACGUGAGUAACCUGCCCUUGACUUUGGGAUAACUUCAGGAAACUGGGGCUAAUACCGGAUAGGAGCUCCUGCUGCAUGGUGGGGGUUGGAAAGUUUCGGCGGUUGGGGAUGGACUCGCGGCUUAUCAGCUUGUUGGUGGGGUAGUGGCUUACCAAGGCUUUGACGGGUAGCCGGCCUGAGAGGGUGACCGGCCACAUUGGGACUGAGAUACGGCCCAGACUCCUACGGGAGGCAGCAGUGGGGAAUAUUGCACAAUGGGCGGAAGCCUGAUGCAGCAACGCCGCGUGCGGGAUGACGGCCUUCGGGUUGUAAACCGCUUUCGCCUGUGACGAAGCGUGAGUGACGGUAAUGGGUAAAGAAGCACCGGCUAACUACGUGCCAGCAGCCGCGGUGAUACGUAGGGUGCGAGCGUUGUCCGGAUUUAUUGGGCGUAAAGGGCUCGUAGGUGGUUGAUCGCGUCGGAAGUGUAAUCUUGGGGCUUAACCCUGAGCGUGCUUUCGAUACGGGUUGACUUGAGGAAGGUAGGGGAGAAUGGAAUUCCUGGUGGAGCGGUGGAAUGCGCAGAUAUCAGAAGGAACACCAGUGGCGAAGGCGGUUCUCUGGGCCUUUCCUGACGCUGAGGAGCGAAAGCGUGGGGAGCGAACAGGCUUAGAUACCCUGGUAGUCCACGCUGUAAACGGUGGGUACUAGGUGUGGGGUCCAUUCCACGGGUUCCGUGCCGUAGCUAACGCUUUAAGUACCCCGCCUGGGGAGUACGGCCGCAAGGCUAAAACUCAAAGGAAUUGACGGGGCCCCGCACAAGCGGCGGAGCAUGCGGAUUAAUUCGAUGCAACGCGUAGAACCUUACCUGGGUUUGACAUGGAUCGGGAGUGCUCAGAGAUGGGUGUGCCUCUUUUGGGGUCGGUUCACAGGUGGUGCAUGGCUGUCGUCAGCUCGUGUCGUGAGAUGUUGGGUUAAGUCCCGCAACGAGCGCAACCCUUGUUCACUGUUGCCAGCACGUUAUGGUGGGGACUCAGUGGAGACCGCCGGGGUCAACUCGGAGGAAGGUGGGGAUGACGUCAAGUCAUCAUGCCCCUUAUGUCCAGGGCUUCACGCAUGCUACAAUGGCUGGUACAGAGAGUGGCGAGCCUGUGAGGGUGAGCGAAUCUCGGAAAGCCGGUCUCAGUUCGGAUUGGGGUCUGCAACUCGACCUCAUGAAGUCGGAGUCGCUAGUAAUCGCAGAUCAGCAACGCUGCGGUGAAUACGUUCCCGGGGCU